rnacentral:rRNA from 1 species
UACGUAGGUGGCAAGCGUUGUCCGGAUUUACUGGGCGUAAAGAGCGCGCAGGCGUCGUUCAAGUCGCGUGUGAAAGCCCCCGGCUCAACUGGGGAGGGUCACGCGUACUGAUCGACUCGAAGGCAGGAGAGGGUAGUGGAAUUCCCGGUGUAGUGGUGAAAUGCGUAGAGAUCGGCAGGAACAGCCAGGGGAACAGUCGA